rfam:Tupaia chinensis contig66784, whole genome shotgun sequence.
CUUAAAAUUGAACCCUGUUAUGAUUUUGUGAUAUUUAGGACAAGCUAAACAUUUACCAUAAAACCAUGUAUAUGUUUCCAGACCUAGUUCUUUUCUUAGCUCUGGUUUUGUAACACAAUGUUCAUUAUA